rnacentral:misc_RNA from 1 species
AAGUCGUAACAAGGUUUCCGUAGGUGAACCUGCGGAAGGAUCAUUAACACGUGUUUUAACUAACCGUAUUAACCAAACGUGAAUUGUUAUUAAGCCUGUUAUUGGAUAUGAACUGACUGUUUGGGAAUGGUAUGAUCGUUUAAUCGCGAUCUAACUUACAGUCUUAGCGUACUUGAUACGCGGUUUGUUCCAGUAAUAGUAGAUGAAUUUCGGCUGCUUAUCUUAGCCUGUACCUUGGCUUGCAGUCGGAGUGACCUUAUUACUUACCCCUUAUUUAUAUUUAUUCUGAUUUGUACGUUUAUAUUGAUUCCUGACUUUAAUCAGUUAGUUGAGUCUUUAUAGAUGUCGUAUAUUACUAAUACGAAACAACUCUUAGCAACGGAUAUCUUGGUUCUC